GGACGAACGCUGGCGGCGUGCUUAACACAUGCAAGUCGAGCGGUAAGGCCCUUUCCGGGGGUACACGGAGCGGCGAACGGGUGAGUAACACGUGGGUGACCUGCCUUUAGCUCUGGGAUAAGCCCUGGGAAACUGGGUCUAAUACCGGAUAUGACUCCAUGACGCAUGUUGUGGGGUGGAAAGCCUUGUGCGGCUAGGGAUGGGCCUGGCCGGCCUAUCAGCUUGUUGGUGGGGUGAUGGCCUACCAAGGCGACGACGGGUAGCCGGCCUGA
rnacentral:rRNA from 1 species